GACGAACGCUGGCGGCGUGCUUAACACAUGCAAGUCGAACGGAAAGGCCCUGCUUUUGUGGGGUGCUCGAGUGGCGAACGGGUGAGUAACACGUGAGUAACCUGCCCUUGACUUUGGGAUAACUUCAGGAAACUGGGGCUAAUGCCGGAUAGGAGCUCCUGCUGCAUGGUGGGGGUUGGAAAGUUUCGGCGGUUGGGGAUGGACUCGCGGCUUAUCAGCUUGUUGGUGGGGUAGUGGCUUACCAAGGCUUUGACGGGUAGCCGGCCUGAGAGGGUGACCGGCCACAUUGGGACUGAGAUACGGCCCAGACUCCUACGGGAGGCAGCAGUGGGGAAUAUUGCACAAUGGGCGGAAGCCUGAUGCAGCAACGCCGCGUGCGGGAUGUCGGCCUUCGGGUUGUAAACCGCUUUCGCCUGUGACGAAGCGUGAGUGACGGUAAUGGGUAAAGAAGCACCGGCUAACUACGUG
rnacentral:rRNA from 1 species